rnacentral:rRNA from 1 species
CCUACGGGAGGCAGCAGUUGGGAAUUUUGCGCAAUGGACGAAAGUCUGACGCAGCGACGCCGCGUGGAGGAUGAAGGCCCUAGGGUCGUAAACUCCUUUUACGAGGGAGUAAUUUGUGAAAGUACCUCGUGAAUAAGCACCGGCUAACUCCGUGCCAGCAGCCGCGGUAAGACGGAGGGUGCAAACGUUGUCCGGAAUCACUGGGCGUAAAGCGCAUGUAGGUGGUUUGGUAAGUCUGGUAUUAAAGCCCGAUGCUUAACAUCGGAUCGGUACCAGAUACUGCCUGACUUGAGGAUAGCAGGGGUAAGCGGAACUUUGAGUGUAGGAGUGAAAUCCGUAGAUAUUCAAAGGAACACCAAUGGCGAAGGCAGCUUACUGGGCUAUUUCUGACACUGAGAUGCGAAAGCGUGGGGAGCAAACGGGAUUAGAUACCCCGGUAGUCCACGCCGUAAACGAUGCCGACUAGUUCUUGGAGGGUAUCGGACCCCCUCUUGGAGCGAGACUACGUACGUAGUCGGCCGCCGUGGGUAGGUACGAGCGCGAGACGUAAACGUACAAGUAGAAGUUAGACGGCGUGUAGACGUUGCGACGGACGACGACGAGGGAGGAGG